rnacentral:rRNA from 1 species
UGCGUAGGCGGAUAGAUAAGUCAGAGGUGAAAGCCUCCCGCUCAACGGGAGAACUGCCUUUGAUACUGUUUAUCUUGAAUGAGGUUGAGGUUAGCGGAAUGUGACAUGUAGCGGUAAAAUGCAUAGAUAUGUCAUAGAACACCAAUUGCGUAGGCAGCUAGCUAGGCCUUUAUUGACGCUGAGGCACGAAAGCAUGGGGAGCGAACAGGAUUAGAUACCCUGGUAGUCC